CCUGUCCAGCCUGCUGCACGGAUGCGGUUGAGUUCAGUUGAAACAGGAAACAGCAGCACUUACCCUGUACUUUCACCAACCUCCUAGUGGCUUGAAGCUAGUAUAUGAGAAUGGCUACACCCUAAAACAUUAUUUAAGAUAUGAUUGCAAUCACAAGUCAGCAAGGAUCUGUCCUGACACUCCUGUGUCUAGCCAUCCUAGGGUUCGUUUCUGCUUUCUGCCUAUGGUGUGGAAAGAGAUCUAAGAUAGUUCAAGAGGAUAACCAGAUUUACAACCAGGAAAUACUUCAACGGGAUGGGAGCAAAUUUGCUGUGACACGAACAAAAACAGUGACAAGACCCAACCAGAAGAGCCCUGAGCAGCCUCUGUGUAACAAGACAGGGCAAUUUGCACAUGCAUCUAAAGUCCACUUAGAUGCUGUUGAAGACACUCAAGGCAGUUACCAGAAUGUUCCCAGUCCAAGUUAA
ensembl:lncRNA